rnacentral:rRNA from 1 species
AGAGUUUGAUCAUGGCUCAGGAUGAACGCUAGCGGGAGGCUUAAUACAUGCAAGUCGAGCGGCAAGUUUUGAUAGCAAUAUUGGAACCUAGAGCGGCGCACGGGUGAGUAACGCGUACAUGACCUGCCCUAUACUGGGGGAUAGUCUUGGGAAACUGAGAAUAAUCCCGCAUGUGAUUAGAAUGCUGCAUGGCAAAUUAAUUAAAGCUGAGGCGGUAUAGGAUGGGUGUGCGUCUGAUUAGCUAGUUGGUAGUGUAACGGACUACCAAGGCGAUGAUCAGUAGGGGGCGUGAGAGCGUGACCCCCCACACGGGUACUGAGACACGGACCCGACUCCUACGGGAGGCAGCAGUAAGGAAUAUUGGACAAUGGGCGCAAGCCUGAUCCAGCCAUGCCGCGUGUGUGAAGAAGGCCCUCGGGUUGUAAAGCACUUUAAGCGAGGAGGAAGGUCAUCAUACUAAUAUUAUGAUGAAUUGACGUUACUCGCAGAAUAAGCACCGGCUAACUCUGUGCCAGCAGCCGCGGUAAUACAGAGGGUGCAAGCGUUAAUCGGAAUUACUGGGCGUAAAGCGCGCGUAGGCGGUUUGUUAAGUCGGAUGUGAAAUCCCUGGGCUCAACCUAGGCACUGCAUCCGAUACUGGCUAACUAGAGUGUGGGAGAGGAAGGUAGAAUUCCAGGUGUAGCGGUGAAAUGCGUAGAGAUCUGGAGGAAUACCGAUGGCGAAGGCAGCCUUCUGGCCUAACACUGACGCUGAGGUGCGAAAGCAUGGGGAGCAAACAGGAUUAGAUACCCCGGUAGU